GUCUUGUAUUAUUUUAAUUUUAGUUUCUUGUGUACAAUUUGGAAAUUAGUAUGGCGUUCAUUAUCACUGGACUAGUAUAUAUUUGUUUAGGGGCCAGCUGAAGGACGCCUCCGGGUGUGGGAAUUUCUCGCUACAUUGAAGACCUGUUGGUGACCCUCUGCUGUUGUUUUAUUUGGUCGGGUUGUUGUCUCUUUGACACAUUCCCCAUUUCCAUUCUCAAUUUUAUCUAUCAAAUUAUCUUUUUCAAAAUUUAACACUAUAUAAAGGUAUGGGGAAAAUCUGGAUUUAGAAUAUUUUUUUUGUCAUCUGCUUGAACAGAAUAUUUUUUUUCAUCAAACUAGGAAAAAACCAUAAGCUUCCCCUUGAAGUUAAAUGGUCGUUCCCUUAACUGGAGAUUUAAACGUAGACUAACUGAUUGAGUUAUGCAAUAUCAUAAUAGGGAAUGUUGAGUUUUUUUUUAUAAAAGGAUAAUGUCAUAAUAUGAAAAUAAGAUGUAGUUUGAAUGCCAAUGAGACACUCAUAUGAAGGGAAUGUCAGCAAACAUAGGCAACGGUAAGGAUUCAACAAUGAGAAAAAUCCAUACUGUAUAGUUGGCUUAUAAAGGCCCCGACAUGAAAAAUGUGGAACAAUAAAUUCAAAGGAGAAAACAAACGCCGAAACGGCCUGAAUUAUAACAAAACAGUUAAUGAAAAACAAAUACAUGUAUGAUUGACAGAAAUGAACAGGGUUGUGGAAAUAUUUGUUGUGAGAACUUGUCCCUAGGCAAGUAAAACUAAAUUUUACUUGUUGAGGCCAAAUAAAAAUAUAUGUGUGGUUCCAGUAACCCUACCGUCCCUACUUUUUCGGCUUAAAAAUAGCCUACCCUAAAGAUUUAUUGUCAUUUUUCAUUAAGCACUGUUAAAGUCAGAAUGUUGCUCCCAUGCAUAGACUCAAUGUAAAAAAAAAAACAUAAAAUAAAAAAAAAUCCCUACCUACCUACCCUAACUUUUUUUUCAGAUGUAACUGGAACCACACAUACUUUUUUAUUUGGCCUGAGAAAAAAGUUACUUGUCCUGAAUUUCCCAAUAAAUAUUGAAGUAAUUUAUUGUAAGCUUGUAUGAUUCUUAAUUUGACUUAAUUUUUAACUGUAUCACAAAAAAAAGUAUGUUUGUGAUAUUUGUUUAUGCGUAUGAAUAAAAGGAUAUAUAUGGUUAACUUCAAUAAGACAGAAACCCAACAGCAAAACAACCAAAAGACAUCUGAAGGGCAAUUUUGCAAUGUUUUUUGAAUGAUAGCCAGUAUACAUGGUAUAGAUAGAUCCAUGACAUUUUAUAAGUUUUGAAACAGUGAAGAAAUGACUAAUUAAUACAUGUAUU
rnacentral:lncRNA from 1 species